rnacentral:sRNA from 1 species
CAUAAAUACUGCAUUGUCUAAAAUGACUUAUCUCAGUAGCAACUUGGGCUCAGAUUUAUUGUACAGUUCAUCAACUUCUCAGCAUGCUGGAUAAUGAAUGUUUCAUUUACAUUGCUAAUUGACAAGCCAUGGUUCCUUCAACCUUUAACCCUUAAGAUUUAUCACAGUAUCACCAUAUGUCAAUAAAACUGCAUUUAACUUUCCAGAUUAGAAACAAAACAAAACAAAAAAAAUGAUUUUCAAAAAAAAAACCAU